CGCUGGCGGCGUGCCUAACACAUGCAAGUCGAACGGGGUUACGGGAGCUUGCUUCUGUAACUUAGUGGCGAACGGGUGAGUAACACGUGAGGAACCUGGCCUUUCAGUGGGGGACAACAGUUGGAAACGACUGCUAAUACCGCAUAAUGUACUAUAGGGGCAUCCCUUAAGUACCAAAGCUUUAUGUGCUGAAAGAUGGCCUCGCGUCUGGAUUAGAUAGUUGGUGGGGUAACGGCCUACCAAGUCAACGAUCAGUAGCCGGUCUGAGAGGAUGAACGGCCACAUUGGGACUGAGACACGGGCCCAAACUCCUACGGGAGGCAGCAGUGGGGAAUAUUGCACAAUGGGGGAACCCUGAUGCAGCGACGCCGCGUGAGUGAAGAAGUAUUUCGGUAUGUAAAGCUCUAUCAGCAGGGAAGAAAAUGACGGUACCUGACUAAGAAGCCCCGGCUAACUACGUG
rnacentral:rRNA from 1 species